UACGUAGGGUGCAAGCGUUAAUCGGAAUUACUGGGCGUAAAGCGUGCGCAGGCGGUGAUGUAAGACAGUUGUGAAAUCCCCGGGCUCAACCUGGGAACUGCAUCUGUGACUGCAUCGCUGGAGUACGGUAGAGGGGGAUGAAAUUCCGCGUGUAGCAGUGAAAUGCGUAGAUAUGCGGAGGAACACCGAUGGCGAAGGCAAUCCCCUGGACCUGUACUGACGCUCAUGCACGAAAGCGUGGGGAGCAAACAGG
rnacentral:rRNA from 1 species